rnacentral:rRNA from 1 species
AUUGAACGCGGGCGGCAUGCUUUACACAUGCAAGUCGGACGGCAGCACAGAGAAGCUUGCUUCUUGGGUGGCGAGUGGCGAACGGGUGAGUAACAUAUCGGAACGUACCGAGUAGUGGGGGAUAACUGAUCGAAAGAUCAGCUAAUACCGCAUACGUCUUGAGAGGGAAAGCAGGGGACCUUCGGGCCUUGCGCUAUUCGAGCGGCCGAUAUCUGAUUAGCUAGUUGGUGGGGUAAAGGCCUACCAAGGCGACGAUCAGUAGCGGGUCUGAGAGGAUGAUCCGCCACACUGGGACUGAGACACGGCCCAGACUCCUACGGGAGGCAGCAGUGGGGAAUUUUGGACAAUGGGCGCAAGCCUGAUCCAGCCAUGCCGCGUGUCUGAAGAAGGCCUUCGGGUUGUAAAGGACUUUUGUCAGGGAAGAAAAGGCUGUUGCUAAUAUCAGCGGCUGAUGACGGUACCUGAAGAAUAAGCACCGGCUAACUACGUGCCAGCAGCCGCGGUAAUACGUAGGGUGCGAGCGUUAAUCGGAAUUACUGGGCGUAAAGCGAGCGCAGACGGUUACUUAAGCAGGAUGUGAAAUCCCCGGGCUCAACCUGGGAACUGCGUUCUGAACUGGGUGACUAGAGUGUGUCAGAGGGAGGUAGAAUUCCACGUGUAGCAGCGAAAUGCGUAGAGAUGUGGAGGAAUACCGAUGGCGAAGGCAGCCUCCUGGGAUAACACUGACGUUCAUGCUCGAAAGCGUGGGUAGCAAACAGG